GGAGCAGCAGGAACCAGCACCUCUUGAGACCAGUAACAAACGGGACACAUCCAAGGCAGAGGAAGAGAACACACCACUUAACCCAAGUUGUUCAAGCCCGUGUGCUCUAGGGGAAAAAACUGAAGGGGCUAUUUUGAAAACCUUUGAUCAUAGCACUAACUGAAUAUGCUGGCACCACAACAGAGAGGAAGGAAACAAAGGAAACAGAUCACAAGUUGUUUAUCCUUCCGCUGGAAAUUAAGAGAACUUUAUUGUCAGAAGGGGUCCAACAUGCCAUGAUCUCCAGUCACCAAGCUUUGGACAAGACAAUUUUAUCAAGAUUUUUAGUACUCAAUCAGAUCAGUAAUUCAAAGACAACAUCACGCUCAAGAGAGACAGAACAUCUUUCUCAGAUUCAAAUUUACCAUUUAUGGUAAUUAUUCAAUUAAAAUAAUAUUUGAA